rnacentral:rRNA from 1 species
UACGAGGGGGGCGAGCGUUGUCCGGAAUCACUGGGCGUAAAGGGCGCGUAGGCGGCUCAUGAAGGCUGUGGUGAAAGUCCGGGGCUCAACCUCGGAUCGGCCGUGGCGACUCGUGGGCUGGAGCACUGUAGAGGCGGGUGGAAUUCCGGGUGUAGCGGUGGAAUGCGUAGAGAUCCGGAAGAACACCGGUGGCGAAGGCGGCCUGCUGGGCAGUAGCUGACGCUGAGGCGCGACAGCGUGGGGAGCGAACAGG